rnacentral:rRNA from 1 species
GCUGGCGGCGUGCCUAAUACAUGCAAGUAGAACGCUGAGGUUUGGUGUUUACACUAGACUGAUGAGUUGCGAACGGGUGAGUAACGCGUAGGUAACCUGCCUCAUAGCGGGGGAUAACUAUUGGAAACGAUAGCUAAUACCGCAUAAGAGUAAUUAACACAUGUUAGUUAUUUAAAAGGAGCAAUUGCUUCACUGUGAGAUGGACCUGCGUUGUAUUAGCUAGUUGGUGAGGUAAAGGCUCACCAAGGCGACGAUACAUAGCCGACCUGAGAGGGUGAUCGGCCACACUGGGACUGAGACACGGCCCAGACUCCUACGGGAGGCAGCAGUAGGGAAUCUUCGGCAAUGGACGGAAGUCUGACCGAGCAACGCCGCGUGAGUGAAGAAGGUUUUCGGAUCGUAAAGCUCUGUUGUUAGGGAAGAGCGUUGGUAGGAGUGGAAAAUCUACCAAGUGACGGUAACUAACCAGAAAGGGACGGCUAACUACGUGCCAGCAGCCGCGGUAAUACGUAGGUCCCGAGCGUUGUCCGGAUUUAUUGGGCGUAAAGCGAGCGCAGGCGGUUCUUUAAGUCUGAAGUUAAAGGCAGUGGCUUAACCAUUGUACGCUUUGGAAACUGGAGGACUUGAGUGCAGAAGGGGAGAGUGGAAUUCCAUGUGUAGCGGUGAAAUGCGUAGAUAUAUGGAGGAACACCGGUGGCGAAAGCGGCUCUCUGGUCUGUAACUGACGCUGAGGCUCGAAAGCGU